CCAACAGAUUCCUAUCUGUAACAUAAUAAAAUUACAACAACAACCAGGACUAACUUGCCUUUGCUGAAUCAAGAUCAGUGAUUGAUGUUGUCUUUAUAAUGACAUUAUAUCAGCUUUUUAAAAUUUCCUUUCUUAUUUGCUAGAACCUCAAUAUAUUGUUGAAUCACAAUGGGGACAGUGAAUAUCCCUGCACAAACAGUCACUAAGCCAGUAGCUGUCACCUGGUUAGUAACCCAUAAAUCUCUGUUGAGUAAACUUGAUGAAUAAAACCAUUUAUUAUGUAAUGCUAAAUUAAAAGUAAGCCAUAACAAAAUGUUGUCUUGAAGCCAGGCAAGAAAAGAGUUUAUCCUAUAUAAUUCAAUUUUAUGAAGUACAAGAAUAGGCAAAAUUAAUAUAUGCUGAUAGAUAUCAGGAUAUAGGUUUAUCUCUGGAGACGGCAUUGACUGGGCAGGGGUAGGAGGAAGCCUUCUGGAGCGCUACAAAUAUCCUUGACCUUGUUAGAGGAUACACAAAUAUAUACAGCAUAAGGGAUUGUGUGAGCUCUUCGCCUGGAGUGUGGGAAGGACCUGUGACUUGUUCCUAACCCACAGAAAAGGAUGGAGCAUAGAAGUGAAUAACAAGAAGAUAUGACAUCAAAUAAGGAUUGGUGAACCAAGAACGGACAUAAAGGGACAGUAUCCAGAGCAGGCAUCCAAGGCCAUCUAGAAAGGAGAAAGAAAAUACCUGGGACUUCUUUGCAGAGGACUUGUGAAACUCUUUGAAAGGUGGGCUAAAUUACUGAUGUAGGAGUGUGUCAGGGGAUUUGGAUUGCAUUUAUUGAUGACAUUGUUAGAAAUUUGAAGAGACAACCGUAAAAGAAAGAAUAUUAAUUUGUAAUUCUCAAGUCCUAAAAUCAGUGUUUGCAUUUAUAAAUAUUUUUCCAGUGUUUCUUGACAUAAAAACAAGUUUUAACACCAUGAUAAUUUUCCAUUCUGCCUUUUUAGCUUACCAUUACACCAAAAGAAUUGUUCAUGGUUUUUCCAGUUCACAAUUACCAUAUUGAAUGUUUACAUUAUUUUCUCUUUUGAAGAUGAAGAGAAACUUAUUUAAGGAGCUCUAAGGCAUUUUAGCUGUUUCUAUUUUUCAUGAUUAUAAUUAGUCAUGCAAAGUAAAAUUUAAUGUGCAUAUUAUAUUACCUCUUUUGCAAUUAUUUUUAGUAUCCUUUCCCAGGAUUUGAUUCAUUAGGUCCAGAUAAUUUUGAUUUUGUAAGCUAAAUUGUUUACCUCUAAGGUAGGCUAAUUUUUAAUACAGAAUCCUCACCAAUUAGAUGUUAAUUGUUUAAAGUUUGCAAGUUGAGUAGAUGUGAAAUGGAACCUGAUUAUUUAAAACUUUUAUUUUGUAAAUUCAUUAGCGGUUUAUGGAAUAUAAUCCAUUUCCCAAACUAGAGCUUCCUCUUAAACUUCUAGAACAUGAUGAAUCUCAGAGAAAUCCCAGUUCCUACUUUACCUAAAAUUACUGAGCUGAUAAAAUUUAACUUUUUCCCCUGUUGGACUAUCUUGAAUAUUUCCUUUCAAUUCUCAUUAUUAUAUCUCCAAGGUCACCCUCAACCCCAAAGCAGUGGAAAAAUAGCCACUCAGAGUAAUCUCUUGUAUGUUUGUUCCUGGAUUACUUCUGUCAUUUCUACAAAUAUCACAUUCUCUGUAUUCACACAGCAGAUACUUAGGUAGAAAGAGCAUCGCAUGAGAAAUGAAAUGAGCUAUUUCUGUUGAGUGAUCCACCCCUACAAUGCUGUGUCAUACUUCAUACUUGCUGAUGAAUGAUCUCUUUGGGUCUUCCUGGGCCCCAGUAGAUUCCUUAAAGAAAUUGGAUGGUAAGUCUAUAUGGUUUUAAUAUUUAUUUUCUUUUCUGAAAAUCUC